AAUGGCUGUAGGCUUCAUUGAGUGCAGUGAUUCUUGAAACUGGAUAGAUCUUGCAGCAGUCCACACAGCUAUCUGGGAGCUUUCAUCCCAAUGCUGACAGCUCAUGUGCAAGGAGAUGAGAUCUAAAUCAGAUAGGUAUAGAGACCAUACUAGCUGAGAUGCUAAUGAAGCAAGGACUCCUGAAGAAGGGGAACUUGACACUGUGCUGCCCACAUGCUGUGCUUCUCUUCUGUAUUCGUAGUGAGUCUAGUGCCAAGUGUAGCCUGUGAUAGUCUUUGAUUUUUAAUAUUCUUUGAGCUUAAUGGGCACUGCAGUGGUUUAAUCAGGUCUUGGGAUCCCGACAGGUGUUUCCCCCAGGUCCAUUAGGAGUCUUCUGUUACUUUUAGAGAUCGUUUUUAUAGUGUAAUAUACUAAUUUUCCUUUAAUUUAGGCUCAGGUUUCUGGGACUUUUGGUCCUCCUCAGUUUGCAGAUUUCACAAGCAAAUUAUUUUACGUUUCUUCUCUACAGACUUUACCCCUUAUUUGGGAUGUGUGAAAAAUUUUUACAGGAAGUAGACUUUUUUCAGAGGUAUUUCAUCGCUGAUUUGCCCCACUUGCAGGACAGCUUUGUGGACAAACUCCUUGACCUUAUGCCCCGAUUCAUGACAUCCAAACCUGCAGAAGUGGUCAAAAUUCUACAGACCAUGCUGCGACAGAGUGCCUUUCUGCAUCUCCCACUUUCAGAGCAGGUCAGGGUCUAUUUGGCCCCUGUAGGCCAAAUCUGUCCAGACGGUCAAAAAUCUUUACCUUGGUGAUCUUUGACCAAUGGAGCAGCUGGGCUAGGCUCUUCCUCUGAGUGGCUCCCACAUGCCCACUCAUUAGAUAAGGAGACAGAAAAAAGAUGUGUUUUCUUGUCCAGGAAUGACCUGGCUUUAGAAUCAUAGGAUUUUCCUCUGGCUUACAGAUCCACAAAGCCUCAGCCACCAUCAUUGAGCCAGCAGGCGAGUCAGACAACCCUUUGCGGUUUACCUCUGGGUUGGUGGUUGCCCUGGAUGUUGAUGCAACCCUGGAGCAUGUGCAGGAUCCUCAGAACACUGUUAAGGUCCAGGUCUGUCGGGUUUGGGUCCUCGUGGAGCUUCUAGACUGACCUUGUGUUGAAGUAUUUAAUGUUAGUACCCCUGUAGUCUCUACUUGAGGGACAGAAACUGGGACAGGAGAAGAAAUGAGCCUCUGUGGGAAAGAACCUAGGCUUGAAUCUCAACUACUGCUGAGUGCGGUUUGGAGCAAGUUACUUUAAACUCUGAGUCUCAGAUUCUACAACUGACAAAUAGGAGGAGUUGACAUAAAGAGAUAAUGUAUUUAAAGCCCCCAGGACCCAGUAAGGGUUCAGUAAAUGAUAAGACCUUUUCUAAUCUUGUAAUGUGACGUUAAGAUUUGGUCUUUUGUUACAGAAAACUAUAAUAAACAAGUUCCUUUCAGGCUGUGAGUCAGUCAGCUGGCAGAUAAAAUUUCUGGAUGGGAAAAAGCGAUUACUAGGAAAUAUUCUUUCCCAAGUUACAUAGAUGUAAUAGAGACACAUGAGAAAUGUAGUAGAGACACUAAUCAAUUCAGACAGUGCAGUUAAGCCCCACAAAGAGUACUACUCCUUCAUUCAUCCAUCUGUCCACUCAUUCAUCCUUCCUUCCAUCCAUCUGUGCAAUCGUGUUUACUCUAUUGCAUGCACUAAGUGCUGUGGUUGCCAAGGUAAAUAUGUCACAGUUCUUCCUCUCGGGGUGUGCACAGUUUCAUUGAGAGACAUACAAAUGGGCAGGCAAUUAUAAAACAGGGUUUGGUGAGUAGACAUGCACAGGAUGGGUCAUCUCCUAGACUGUCUCCUAAAAAACCCUUUCAAAGCACCUCUACCACAUGCAGGGCUAAACCUUUUAGAGUAUUCAAUUUGGAGUGUGGUGGAGGCUCAGGAAAGGAAAGGAGAAGGGCACAAGGGAUAUGAGAGAAGGGCACAAGGGAUAUGAGUCAAAGCAGGGAUGCAAGCACUGGCAGGAAGUACAAUAAGGGGACAGAAAAAUAGGCUGGAACAGGCAGAGAAGGCUUCCUGGAGGAGGUAAGGAUGAAUCAGGCCUUGAAGAUUACGCUUUUCGGCUAUGGUGACAAUAAAGGAACGGGCCUUCUGGCUUCCAAGCAGUAAUUAUUAUAAAUUAUGAGACCUGC
rnacentral:lncRNA from 1 species